AGCGUACACGGUGGAUGCCCUGGCAGUCAGAGGCGAUGAAGGACGUGCUAAUCUGCGAAAAGCGUCGGUAAGGUGAUAUGAACCGUUAUAACCGGCGAUGUCCGAAUGGGGAAACCCAGUGUGAUUCGUCACACUAUCGUUAACUGAAUACAUAGGUUAACGAGGCGAACCGGGGGAACUGAAACAUCUAAGUACCCCGAGGAAAAGAAAUCAACCGAGAUUMCCCCAGUAGCGGCGAGCGAACGGGGAGCAGCCCAGAGUCUGAAUCAGCUUGUGUGUUAGUGGAACGGUCUGGAAAGUCCGACGGUACAGGGUGAUAGUCCCGUACACCAAAAUGCACAGGUUGUGAACUCGAAGAGUAGGGCGGGACACGUGGUAUCCUGUCUGAAUAUGGGGGGACCAUCCUCCAAGGCUAAAUACUCCUGACUGACCGAUAGUGAACCAGUACCGUGAGGGAAAGGCGAAAAGAACCCCGGCGAGGGGAGUGAAAAAGAACCUGAAACCGUGUACGUACAAGCAGUGGGAGCACCUUCGGGUGUGACUGCGUACCUUUUGUAUAAUGGGUCAGCGACUUAUAUUCUGUAGCAAGGUUAACCGUAUAGGGGAGCCGCAGGGAAACCGAGUCUUAACUGGGCGUUAAGUUGCAGGGUAUAGACCCGAAACCCGGUGAUCUAGCCAUGGGCAGGUUGAAGGUUGGGUAACACUAACUGGAGGACCGAACCGACUAAUGUUGAAAAAUUAGCGGAUGACUUGUGGCUGGGGGUGAAAGGCCAAUCAAACCGGGAGAUAGCUGGUUCUCCCCGAAAGCUAUUUAGGUAGCGCCUCGUGAACUCAUCUUCGGGGGUAGAGCACUGUUUCGGCUAGGGGGUCAUCCCGACUUACCAACCCGAUGCAAACUACGAAUACCGAAGAAUGUUAUCACGGGAGACACACGGCGGGUGCUAACGUCCGUCGUGAAGAGGGAAACAACCCAGACCGCCAGCUAAGGUCCCAAAGUCAUGGUUAAGUGGGAAACGAUGUGGGAAGGCACAGACAGCCAGGAUGUUGGCUUAGAAGCAGCCAUCAUUUAAAGAAAGCGUAAUAGCUCACUGGUCGAGUCGGCCUGCGCGGAAGAUGUAACGGGGCUAAACCAUGCACCGAAGCUGCGGCAGCGACACUAUGUGUUGUUGGGUAGGGGAGCGUUCUGUAAGCCUGCGAAGGUGWSCUGUGAGGSWUGCUGGAGGUAUCAGAAGUGCGAAUGCUGACAUAAGUAACGAUAAAGCGGGUGAAAAGCCCGCUCGCCGGAAGACCAAGGGUUCCUGUCCAACGUUAAUCGGGGCAGGGUGAGUCGACCCCUAAGGCGAGGCCGAAAGGCGUAGUCGAUGGGAAACAGGUUAAUAUUCCUGUACUUGGUGUUACUGCGAAGGGGGGACGGAGAAGGCUAUGUUAGCCGGGCGACGGUUGUCCCGGUUUAAGCAUGUAGGCUGAUUGUCCAGGCAAAUCCGGAUAAUCAAGGCUGAGGUGUGAUGACGAGGCACUACGGUGCUGAAGUAACAAAUGCCCUGCUUCCAGGAAAAGCCUCUAAGCAUCAGGUAACAUCAAAUCGUACCCCAAACCGACACAGGUGGUCAGGUAGAGAAUACCAAGGCGCUUGAGAGAACUCGGGUGAAGGAACUAGGCAAAAUGGUGCCGUAACUUCGGGAGAAGGCACGCUGGUGUGUAGGUGAAGYCCCUGCGGRUGGAGCUGAGACCAGUCGAAGAUACCAGCUGGCUGCAACUGUUUAUUAAAAACACAGCACUGUGCAAACACGAAAGUGGACGUAUACGGUGUGACGCCUGCCCGGUGCCGGAAGGUUAAUUGAUGGGGUUAUCCGUAAGGAGAAGCUCUUGAUCGAAGCCCCGGUAAACGGCGGCCGUAACUAUAACGGUCCUAAGGUAGCGAAAUUCCUUGUCGGGUAAGUUCCGACCUGCACGAAUGGCGUAAUGAUGGCCAGGCUGUCUCCACCCGAGACUCAGUGAAAUUGAACUCGCUGUGAAGAUGCAGUGUACCCGCGGCAAGACGGAAAGACCCCGUGAACCUUUACUAUAGCUUGACACUGAACAUUGAGCCUUGAUGUGUAGGAUAGGUGGGAGGCUUUGAAGCGUGGACGCCAGUCUGCGUGGAGCCAACCUUGAAAUACCACCCUUUAAUGUUUGAUGUUCUAACGUUGGCCCCUKACCGGGGUUGCGGACAGUGUCUGGUGGGUAGUUUGACUGGGGCGGUCUCCUCCCAAAGCGUAACGGAGGAGCACGAAGGUUAGCUAAUCCUGGUCGGACAUCAGGAGGUUAGUGCAAUGGCAUAAGCUAGCUUGACUGCGAGCGUGACGGCGCGAGCAGGUGCGAAAGCAGGUCAUAGUGAUCCGGUGGUUCUGAAUGGAAGGGCCAUCGCUCAACGGAUAAAAGGUACUCCGGGGAUAACAGGCUGAUACCGCCCAAGAGUUCAUAUCGACGGCGGUGUUUGGCACCUCGAUGUCGGCUCAUCACAUCCUGGGGCUGAAGUAGGUCCCAAGGGUAUGGCUGUUCGCCAUUUAAAGUGGUACGCGAGCUGGGUUUAGAACGUCGUGAGACAGUUCGGUCCCUAUCUGCCGUGGGCGCUGGAGAAUUGAGGGGGGCUGCUCCUAGUACGAGAGGACCGGAGUGGACGCAUCACUGGUGUUCGGGUUGUCAUGCCAAUGGCACUGCCCGGUAGCUAAAUGCGGAAGAGAUAAGUGCUGAAAGCAUCUAAGCACGAAACUUGCCCCGAGAUGAGUUCU
rnacentral:rRNA from 1 species